GAUGAACGCUAGCGGGAGGCCUAACACAUGCAAGCCGAGCGGUAUUUGUCUUUCGGGACAGAGAGAGCGGCGUACGGGUGCGGAACACGUGUGCAACCUGCCUUUAUCAGGGGGAUAGCCUUUCGAAAGGAAGAUUAAUACCCCAUAAUAUAACUGAUGGCAUCAUUAGAUAUUGAAAACUCCGGUGGAUAGAGAUGGGCACGCGCAAGAUUAGAUAGUUGGUGAGGUAACGGCUCACCAAGUCAGUGAUCUUUAGGGGGCCUGAGAGGGUGAUCCCCCACACUGGUACUGAGACACGGACCAGACUCCUACGGGAGGCAGCAGUGAGGAAUAUUGGACAAUGGGUGCGAGCCUGAUCCAGCCAUCCCGCGUGAAGGACGACGGUUCUAUGGAUUGUAAACUUCUUUUAUACUGGGAUAAACCUACUCUCGUGAGGGUAGCUGAAGGUACAGUAUGAAUAAGCACCGGCUAACUCCGUGCCAGCAGCCGCCGCGG
rnacentral:rRNA from 1 species